rnacentral:tRNA from 1 species
GAAGGUAUAGCUCAGUGGUAGAGUGCGUGCUCGCAUGCACACGGUCCUGGGUUCAGCCCCCAGUACCUCCA